UACAGAGGGUGCGAGCGUUAAUCGGAAUUACUGGGCGUAAAGCGCGCGUAGGCGGCUUUGCAAGUCGAGUGUGAAAUCCCCAGGCUUAACCUGGGAACUGCAUUCGAGACUGCAUAGCUAGAGUAUGGGAGAGGGAAGUGGAAUUUCAGGUGUAGCGGUGAAAUGCGUAGAUAUCUGGAGGAAUACCGGUGGCGAAGGCGGCAUCCUGGACCGGCAUUGACGCUGAUGAGCGAAAGCUAGGGGAGCAAACGGG
rnacentral:rRNA from 1 species